rnacentral:rRNA from 1 species
AACAGGCUAAUUGCGCCAGAGAGUUCAAAUUGGGUGCGCAGUUUGGCACCUCGAUGUCGGCUUAGCUCAUCCACAUGAAUGCAAGAGUCAUGAAGGGUACGGCUGUUCGUCGAUUA